CAUGCUACAGAAAACAGCUGGAGUGCCUUACCCAAAUGCAACAGAAAUCCUACGUGCCUACAUUCACUUUGAAGCAAUGACGAGUCAUGACUACUCUUUCUCCUGCAUUUCUUGUGGUCAUCAUCCUUCCAUAGCUAUUAUGGAUUUACAUAAAAAAGGAGUGUUCAGCAUUCCAGUCAGGGACUUGGAUGCCCCUUCUGAGAGCUACAAUGGUGAAGUGAACAUCGAAGACUUCUGGGACAACGUCGCUAUGGAAAUGAUUGCCUUUAGCCUUAUAAAGAGUAAUUAACAGUUUCAAUUGUGUAGGCAUUUUGGACAAAGCCUGAAUCUAUAAAUUUGCAUAUUAGAUGCUUCAAUGCUUACUCUUGUUUAUCAUGCAGAUGGACAAAAAAAAUCCUUUCACAAUCCCACCUAACUAUCAAAACUGGGCGCCUUGGAUUGGCCGAGGAACCAGGAAAGGUCUCACUGUGUUGAACACAGAAUACCAGAAGCUGCACGUCACAAACUGCCAAGACAAUUCUGUGGACGUGAAUGUUACAGAGGAAAGACUUGUGGAUGAAUUGAGAAACCUAAAGGUGGCUGGCAUUCGGAAACUUUGUAAAGCCUGUGGUGUGAGCAGUUUGGGAUCCAAAGCUGAUCUACUUUAAAGCCUGGAACAAGAAAUGAAGAGUCGAGCUACAUACGACAAAGUAUUCCAAAAGAUUUG